rnacentral:rRNA from 1 species
GACCUCGAGUGCCAGGUUACAAAUCUGGCUGUCGUGAUGCCUAAAAAGCAUUGCAUAGCAAGGGCCGGGCAAGACCGGUGCCAGCCGCCGCGGUAACACCGGCGGCUCGAGUGGUAACCGUUAUUAUUGGGUCUAAAGGGUCUGUAGCCGGCCGGAUAAGUCUCUUGAGAAAUCCAGCAGCUCAACUGUUGGGCUUUCAGGAGAUACUGUUCGGCUCGAGGCCGGGAGAGGUGAGAGGUACUUCAGGGGUAGGGGUGAAAUCUUGUAAUCCUUGAAGGACCACCAGUGGCGAAGGCGUCUCACCAGAACGGACCUGACGGCAAGGGACGAAAGCUAGGGGCACGAACCGGAUUAGAUACCCGGGUAGUCCUAGCCGUAAACGAUACUCGCUAGGUGUCGGCCACGGUGCGACCGUUGUCGGUGCCGUAGGGAAGCCG